rnacentral:rRNA from 1 species
GACGAACGCUGGCGGCGUGCUUAACACAUGCAAGUCGAACGGAAAGGCCCCGCUCUUGUGGCGUGCCCGAGUGGCGAACGGGUGUGUAACACGUGAGUAACCUGCCCUUGACUUUGGGAUAACUUCAGGAAACUGGGGCUAAUGCCGGAUAGGAGCUCCUGUUGCAUGUUGGGGGUUGGAAAGUUACGGCGGUUGGGGAUGGAUUCGCGGCUUAUCAGCUUGUUGGUGGGGUAGUGGCUUACCAAGGCUUUGACGGGUAGCCGGCCUGAGAGGGUGACCGGCCACAUUGGGACUGAGAUACGGACCAAGCUCCUACGGGAGGCAGAAGUGGGGAAUAUUGCACAAUGGGCGGAAGCCUGAUGCAGCAACGCCGCGUGCGGGAUGACGGCCUUCGGGUUGUAAACCGCUUUCGCCUGUGACGAAGCGUGAGUGACGGUAAUGGGGAAAGAAGCACCGGCUAACUACGU